rnacentral:rRNA from 1 species
GGAUCGCAGGCUGCAACCCGCCUGCGUGAAGCCGGAAUCGCUAGUAACCGCCGAUCAGCACGCGGCGGUGAAUACGUUCCCGGGCCUUGUACACACCGCCCGUCACGUCAUGGGAGCUGGCCUUACCCGAAGUCGCUCGCCCAACGGGGCAACCCGAGGGAGGUGCCUAGGGUGAGGCUGGUGACUGGGACGAAGUCGUAACAAGGUAGCCGUACGGGAACGUGCGGCUGGAUCACCUCCUUUCUAGGGAG